UGGGGAAUUUUGGACAAUGGGCGAAAGCCUGAUCCAGCAAUGCCGCGUGUGUGAAGAAGGCCUUCGGGUUGUAAAGCACUUUUGUCCGGAAAGAAAUCCUUGGCUCUAAUACAGCCGGGGGAUGACGGUACCGGAAGAAUAAGCACCGGCUAACUACGUGCCAGCAGCCGCGGUAAUACGUAGGGUGCAAGCGUUAAUCGGAAUUACUGGGCGUAAAGCGUGCGCAGGCGGUUUGCUAAGACCGAUGUGAAAUCCCCGGGCUUAACCUGGGAACUGCAUUCGUGACUGCAAGGCUAGAGUAUGGCAGAGGGGGGUAGAAUUCCACGUGUAGCAGUGAAAUGCGUAGAGAUGUGGAGGAAUACCGAUGGCGAAGGCAGCCCCCUGGGCCAAUACUGACGCUCAUGCACGAAAGCGUGGGGAGCAAACAGGAUUAGAUACCCUGGUAGUCCACGCCCUAAACGAUGUCAACUAGUUGUUGGGGAUUCAUUUCCUUAGUAACGUAGCUAACGCGUGAAGUUGACCGCCUGGGGAGUACGGUCGCAAGAUUAAAACUCAAAUGAAUUGACGGGGUCAUAGCUGUUUCCU
rnacentral:rRNA from 1 species